GGAAGACGGACUCCAGUAAGGAAGCCAGACACGCAGGACUGGGGACUCCUGGAAGACAGAGACGCCCUCCCACCGUGAACGAGUCGGCUCAUGCUGAAGGCCCCAAAGCACCCCAGGGCUGCUGAGAACAGGUCAGAGUGAGGGUGCUGUUUUCCUGGGUUCCACAGGCCACCAGUGCCGUGGCCCCAACCGGAAGGAGCUUGGACAUUAACAUGUGUCAGCUGCCCACAGAGCCUCCACGUGCCCGCCCCGCGCCAGAGCCCGGCACAGAGGGGCGGGUCUCGGGCCCACCUCGGCAUCCUCGGAGCCUCACACCAGCGAGAGGGCAGCCUUCUCGCCCCAGCUCACAGGAAUGUCUUCUCCGCACGCUGAGAAGCCAAGUUCGCUGAGGGCAGAGGCCCCACCGCCGGCUUCUUGGGUGUUCUCCAC